rnacentral:rRNA from 1 species
GACGAACGCUGGCGGCGCGCUUAACACAUGCAAGUCGAACGGAAAGGCCUGCUUUCCCUUGUGGAUUGCGGGUACUCGAGUGGCGAACGGGUGAGUAACACGUGAGUGAUCUGCCCCCAACUUGGGUAUAAGCCUGGGAAACUGGGUCUAAUUCCCGAUAGGACUGCAGGGUGGUGCCUGUGGUGGAAAACGAUUUUCUAGUGGUAGGGGAUGAGCUCGCGGCCUAUCAGCUUGUUGGUGGGGUAAUGGCCUACCAAGGCGGCGACGGGUAGCCGGCCUGAGAGGGUGGACGGCCACAUUGGGACUGAGAUACGGCCCAGACUCCUACGGGAGGCAGCAGUGGGGAAUAUUGCACAAUGGGCGGAAGCCUGAUGCAGCGACGCCGCGUGGGGGAUGGCGGCCUUCGGGUUGUAAACUCCUUUCGACCGCGAGGAAGCCACCUGGUUGGAAGGGUGGUGACGGUAGUGGUAGAAGAAGCACCGGCUAACUACGU